AGAGUUUGAUUCUGGCUCAGGACGAACGCUGGCGGCGUGCCUAACACAUGCAAGUCGAACGGAGAUGUUUAUUUCGGUAGACAUCUUAGUGGCGCACGGGUGAGUAACGCGUGAAUAACCUAACCCGAAGAGGGGGAUAACACCUGGAAACAAGUGCUAAUACCGCAUAAGACCACAGACCGGCAUCGGUCAGAGGUCAAAGGAGAAAUCCGCUUUGGGAGGGGUUCGCGUCCCAUUAGGUAGUUGGUGAGGUAACGGCCCACCAAGCCGACGAUGGGUAGCCGAGCUGAGAGGCUGAUCGGCCACACUGGAACUGAGACACGGUCCAG
rnacentral:rRNA from 1 species